rnacentral:lncRNA from 1 species
AUUAUCCCGUGUUUACAACCCUUCCAGAAAAACAAAAGCCUGCCCAGCAGGCCCUCUCUGCUGCGCAGGCAGGAGUGGCAGUUCUCCUUUCUGAGCACGGAGAGGAAGCCUCGCAGCCUGGCCUGGGCCUGGGCAGUGACUGGGGCAGCCUCCGCCUGCCUAGAAGGGCGGUGAGGAGAGAAGGAAGAGAUGUUGGUUCUGCUUAACGCUCAUUAAUUGUCUCGUCAAAUGGAUCCAACAACCUUUCCAUCCAGGCGCUAUUAACCCAUUUAACAGGUGAGAAAACAGAGGCUCUGAGAGGCUCUGGUCUAAGGUGAGGGGCUUAGUGGACUGUGUUUGCUCCUGAGCUCAGGCACGUGGAGAAUAUUAAUGGUAUAAUAAUUCCCACCAUGACACUUGGCGAACACCCAUGAUGUUCAGCUCUUGACACCCAGGACCCUGUUUAAUCCUCCUGGCCAUGGGCGUUUGCACUGUGGUCUCCAG